rnacentral:lncRNA from 1 species
CAUUCAAGCAAGGAAAUUGACAUAAUUUCAGAACAUGCUCAGGAUAAAGUCUUCCUUUCUACAGGGAAUUGAGUGGCUGACAACUCCAGGAAACGUCAAAUUGACUUUAACUUCAUGCCCACUGCUUGGGCUUUAUAUUAGCAUGUGUUUAUUUGACCAGACACAAGUGUUGAAUUUCAUUAAAUCUGUCCAUUUCAAGUCUCCUUUAACUUGAGAAUUACUUGAGAUUUUCUUUUAUCUUAUCACUAUCCUUUUCCUACCUAGUACAAGUACAGAGAAUGUUGAAAUAUGUUUAGGGAAAUAAAUAUUGAAGAUGUUGCAUAUUAGGAAGUGGAUGCAUCUAGUAUCUCUUAUGAAUGGGUGUUAUACUGAAAUAGCCUUUUUAUUUUGGCACAACAAAUACAUUUAAGGAUUAUGCU